rnacentral:rRNA from 1 species
AACGAACGCUGGCGGCAUGCCUAACACAUGCAAGUCGAACGAGAUCUUCGGGUCUAGUGGCGCACGGGUGCGUAACGCGUGGGAAUCUGCCCUUUGGUUCGGAAUAACAGUUGGAAACGACUGCUAAUACCGGAUGAUGACGAAAGUCCAAAGAUUUAUCGCCAGAGGAUGAGCCCGCGUAGGACUAGCUAGUUGGUGUGGUAAAGGCGCACCAAGGCGACGAUCCUUAGCUGGUCUGAGAGGAUGGUCAGCCACACUGGGACUGAGACACGGCCGCGAGUCAUACGGGAGGAAGAAGUGGGGAAUAUUGGACAGUGGGCGGAAGCCUGAUCCAGCAAUGCCGCGUGGGUGAUGAAGGCCUUAGGGUUGUAAAGCUCUUUUACCCGGGAUGAUAAUGACAGUACCGGGAGAAUAAGCUCCGGCUAACUCCGUGCCAGCAGCCGCCGUAA